CUCCCCCCGCCAAGAGGGGGGUACCUUCUGCUCCAUGAAACAUUAAAUAGCCGCAGUAUCUUGACUGUGCUAAGGUAGCACAAUAAUUUGUCUUUUAAUUAAAGGCUGGUAUAAAGGAGGAGACGACACUCAAGCUUUCCUGCGGGUUUAAACUGAAUUUGAUAUUUGCGUCAAAAAGUGCAACUUUUUAGGGGGACGAUAAGACCCUAUAAAACUUUACCCAAAUGGCCACUACUUAUAUUUCGGACGGGUAAGGAGUGUCUUUGGGUUGAGCUGGGGCGGCAAUUAAUAAACAUUAAGAGAGAAAACACCUAUCGGUGUAAGGGUAGAUCUUAUGAAAGAUAUAGAACAAGUUACUUUAGGGAUAACAGCACAAUUUUUUCAUAUAGACCUUAUAGAAGAAAAAGACUUGUGACCUCGAUGUUGAAUUGAAGAGCCUAAGGUAAGUAGAAAUAUUUUUAGGGGGUCUGUUCGACCUUUGAUUCUUC
rnacentral:rRNA from 1 species